rnacentral:rRNA from 1 species
CAGCCGCCGCGGGAAUACGUAGGUGGCAAGCGUUGUCCGGAAUUAUUGGGCGUAAAGGGCUCGCAGGCGGUUUCUUAAGUCUGAUGUGAAAGCCCCCGGCUCAACCGGGGAGGGUCAUUGGAAACUGGGAAACUUGAGUGCAGAAGAGGAGAGUGGAAUUCCACGUGUAGCGGUGAAAUGCGUAGAGAUGUGGAGGAACACUAGUGGCGAAGGCGACUCUCUGGUCUGUAACUGACGCUGAGGAGCGAAAGCGUGGGGAGCGAACGGGAUUAGAUACCCCUGUAGUCCCUGUCUCUUAUAC